GACGAACGCUGGCGGCGUGCUUAACACAUGCAAGUCGAGCGGUAAGGCCCUUCGGGGUACACGAGCGGCGAACGGGUGAGUAACACGUGGGUGACCUGCCCCCAACUCUGGGAUAAGCCCGGGAAACUGGGUCUAAUACCGGAUACGACCACAUAUCGCAUGAUGAGUGGUGGAAAGUACGUUCUUAAUUGAGCGCCUCGGUUGGGGAUGGGCCCGCGGCCUAUCAGCUUGUUGGUGGGGUGAUGGCCUACCAAGGCGACGACGGGUAGCCGGCCUGAGAGGGCGACCGGCCACACUGGGACUGAGACACGGCCCAGACUCCUACGGGAGGCAGCAGUGGGGAAUAUUGCGCAAUGGGCGAAAGCCUGACGCAGCGACGCCGCGUGGGGGAUGACGGCCUUCGGGUUGUAAACCUCUUUCGACCUCGACGAAGCGAAAGUGACGGUAGGGGUAGAAGAAGCACCGGCCAACUACGUGCCAGCCGCCGCCGUAACAC
rnacentral:rRNA from 1 species